UCCUCCGCAAUACAGGCACGUCAGAGAUACCUAAGGCGCUCAGAGUGUUCUUCGUCAGCCGAGUCCGUGAACCUGCCAGGCCUUGAGCACUUCCAAUACACUGUUACCAUGGAGUAGCCGCCAAGUCCCCUUUUCCUCUCAAAUGCUUAAACAUCUCGUCAGAACUCACCUCUGUCCCUGAAGUUGGAGGCUCAGCAGGAGCGACACUGUUGACGAAGAAAGUUCAGCCCAGAGAUGCUCAACAACCUUCCCAAGCUAAUGCCCUUAACUCGUGGCAGAGUUGAGCCUGGAACCCACGUCUUCUCAGCGAUUUGUUUUCAGUACGAGUUGCAGAAUGAUGGCAGACACUCUCUCAAGAUCAAACAGUCUGGCAGGAGACAUUGGAAAUGUACAGUCAAAUGAGUGAUCCCAGCCAAUGUGGAGGAGAGAGCCAGGCAGAAUGGGG